AGCUCAUUUUUCCCAACUGCUAUCAAAGAUGAGUUGUAAAUUUUGUUUUUCUAUAACAGCUUUUAGUAAACGCUAAGAUAGAAAAUCCCUAAGCGGGAAUAUGAAAUCAUUUAUUCCGCCUACACUAAACUAAAAUAAUUCACUAUACCGCCAACACUUAAGACAUAUUUCCCCCUUUCACCCAAAAAAUCAUCUCUUUGUAACCUAAUUCUCUCAUCUUUCUCUUUGCCUCCUUCUCCUCGUUCUCCUUUCUCCUUUCUCCUUUCUCCUUUCUCCUUUCUCCUUUGGCUGUCUCUCCUUCAUUCACUUCUCUUCCCUUCCAACAGUGCAAGCAUCGACAUCAGGUCCACCGUCGAUUGUCAACUUUCUGGUCGCCAGUGAUAGCUUGUUUUUGUUUCCAGUAAUCUCCAACUCGCCGGUGAAGAAAACGCUCUCAAGUCCAGCUAGGUAUCUCUCUCCUCUCCUCAAUUUCCGAUUGAUCUAUUAGGUUAGAUUGUUUGAUUUACUUCUCCAUCUUCUCCGUCCUCUCUCACUCUCCUUCUCCGUCUUGCUCCUCUGUCUUAUCUCUCUCUUCUUUGCUUUUUUUUUUCUUACCAUCUUACCGUCUUUCUCCUUUGUCUUAUCUCUCUCUUCUCCACCACAAUAUGGAAUUUCUCCAAGGGAAGAUUAUUGCAAUCUCCACAAUUGCCCACCAUUGAGAAGAUCAGAGAUUGAGUACUACGCAAUGCUUGCUAAAGUUGGUGUUCACCAUUAUGGAAUUAAUAGGCACUUUGGCGAGACAAACAUGAAUGUUCAUAGUAGCAGAUCUCACACCAUCUUCAGAAUGGGUGGAGGCAGGUCUUUUGCUAGAGAGACCAUUGGAAGAGUUGCUCCUGAGCUUUGGCAAGAAAAUUUUGAAGCAAUUUGCAGAAUUUGAGGUGUGUUUACUUUCAGUCCAUGAACGUUGUUGACUGUAUUGGUUUCAUUUGCUUUGUUUUAUUGUAAAACAGGUUAAGAGAGAGAGGAUGGUUUCAAAGACUUGUUUUCGUCAUGUGAUAAGAAUGUUGUGAGGCUUAGUUACGAGAUAACACAUUCCACGGGUAUAAAGAAGCUAGUAUAAGAAGAUGAUGAUUUUGAAGGCGUUAAGAAGUUUUUUUAUUUUCUCCUUAGGAUGUUAGUUUUAGUUUGUUUAAGAAUAGGCAGCAUUUUAGUAAUUAGUAUAAGACUUAUUAAUAUGAUGUUAUGUAUGACUUGUUUGGUUAAUGUAAUAAAAGUUAUAUAUAUA